GGGAGUGUAGCUCAAUUCGGAAGAGCAGACGCCUUCGAAGCGUUCGGUUGCAGGUUCAAAUCCUGCCACUCUCG
rnacentral:tRNA from 2 species